rfam:Puccinia sorghi strain RO10H11247 Scaffold_4411, whole genome shotgun sequence.
GCGUCUGUAGCCUAGUUGGUUAAAGGCAGCACUCUAGCAUGUGUCUCAGUUAUACUGAGGUCGUGAGUUCGAAUCUCACCAGACACA